UGCGAGUCAACAUAGCAAUAUGUGGCAUACGGCUCAGUAACACGUAGUCAACAUGCCCAGGGGACGUGGAUAACCUCGGGAAACUGAGGAUAAACCGCGAUAGGUCAUUUCUUCUGGAAUGGGUAAUGACUUAAAUCUAUAUGGCCCCUGGAUUGGACUGCGGCCGAUCAGGCUGUUGGUGAGGUAAUGGCCCACCAAACCUGUAACCGGUACGGGCUCUGAGAGGAGGAGCCCGGAGAUGGGCACUGAGACAAGGGCCCAGGCCCUAUGGGGCGCAGCAGGCGCGAAACCUCUGCAAUAGGCGAAAGCUUGACAGGGUUACUCUGAGUGAUUUCCGUUAAGGAGAUCUUUUGGCACCUCUAAAAAUGGUGCAGAAUAAGGGGUGGGCAAGUCUGGUGUCAGCCGCCGCGGUAAUACCAGCACCCCGAGUGGUCGGGACGUUUAUUGGGCCUAAAGCAUCCGUAGCCGGUUCUACAAGUCUUCCGUUAAAUCCACCUGCUUAACAGAUGGGCUGCGGAAGAUACUAUAGAGCUAGGAGGCGGGAGAGGCAAGCGGUACUCGAUGGGUAGGGGUAAAAUCCGUUGAUCCAUUGAACACCACCAGUGGCGAAGGCGGCUUGCCAGAACGCGCUCGACGGUGAGGGAUGAAAGCUGGGGGAGCAAACCGGAUUAGAUACCCGGGUAGUCCCAGCUGUAAACGAUGCAGACUCGGUGAUGAGUUGGCUUAUUGCUAACUCAGUGCCGCAGGGGAGCCGUUAAGUUUGCCGCCUGGGGAGUACGGUCGCAAGACUGAAACUUAAAGGAAUUGGCGGGGGAGCACCACAAGGGGUGAAGCCUGCGGUUCAAUUGGAGUCAACGCCGGG
rnacentral:rRNA from 1 species